CAAAACUUCCCGGAACACGCAUCUUUAGGCCAGCCGUCAUGCAGGGUCUGGAAGCUAUGAUUCCAGCACGGCGGCUGUGGUGAUGCAUAUUUUGGCAGCCUGGACGUGGCUCUGGUUCAGGCUUACCGGUAUCAGCGGCAUCAGGCUCUGCUGCAGCAGGGAAGACUUGAAGGAACCAUAAUUGAAAAGCUGCUUGGAGACAGAUUUCAAAUAUGGUUGUGGAGAAGUAGGUUGCCAGGCUUUCCCCUCGUGGAGUCUUGAGGACCGUUCCUGCCUACGGCGAGUCCUCAUCCCAUGGCCAGGUCAACCGAGGAAGGAUUAAGGAAGGUGGGUUAUAAAGGGAACAUCGCUUGCGCCAAAAUACAUAGCGAGAAGUUUGCGGGGUCAUACUGAAUAGCGUUCAUGGUAUAGGCCAGCAAAGGCCUAAAGGGGUACCAAGGGGGGUUGCUGCGUACCAUGGCGCGGACAACUUUAGUCAUCCCCUGCCUAGCACUUGCACCCUUAGACACUGCCUGCGAUCGGGGGUCAGGAUAAAUGUUAGCCAUGCGCGCUCACCCCGGUGAGCCACCUACUAUCUAGAGGCCCACGCCGCACACAGCACAGAUAUCGUAACCUUUGGUCAAUUACCUCGGGUGGAAGAGCCAAUUAUGCAGAUGUAAACGUCCCCGAACCCAGUCAUGGCGAGGAGACCCGGGGUUAACCAGAGGUUCAAUACGAAAUGCGUUCGUGCGGAUGGUGCAGGAUGCAGGCAAACUUCGCGCUUCCGUAGGUACAGGAUAGCCAUCGACCACCUCCGCAUUAAACUCCGUCCAACAGCACUCGGGGAGGCACCGGGCGCAGGCGGCUUUUUUGUCCGGUCCAUCUGACUCGAGCGAAAGUUCCACCUAUCCAGUUCAGCGACCCUGUUAGUUGUGACAUGAAGCAUGCACAUGUCGCACGAUGGGGAAUUAUGAUGGGGAAGGCCGACUGGGGGAGUGUGCUGAGUCGAUAAUAAUAAACGGUUGGCGUUGAUUGCAGACAUGCAAGCAUAGAGGAAGUCGCAGAGUCCGGCACGGUGCAGAACCAUCCAAAGCAUAAGCACACUAAGGCCAGAUCCCAGAAGUGCCAAAGCUGCUGGCAGUGAAAAUCUGCUCACGAACAUGUCAAAAUGCAGCAGGUUCGGCGGUGAAAGCGAAGUGUCAAAAGCGAGCGAUACGAGGUGUAGACAGUGCACUAGACGGGACUAAGGCGAGCAAACGAUCGGCAAUGUGCAGCAGUGAAGGUAGGCGCAAGGAUGUGGCGAUGAAGAAUCUCCCAUAGAAAUGCGUGGAGUUGGCAAACAGUCAGUGAUUGUUGCACAAAUAAUGGACACGGUGGAGUACGAUCAGGCUGUUAGGUAGAAAUCCCCGCUGUGCCACGUAGACACGACAUGGUCAAGCUGUUGGCGAGCUGCUGAACUUCAAUUUUUUGGAUCGCUCCACUUGCAUCCAAGUGGGCAUCCGUUCAGGGUUUGGGUUCAUUCCGUCCCUUGACUUUUGGGAUCAUCCAGCUGGAAUUGUUGCGCGUGGAUGAUCUUGUGUGUUUUGGGUUGGACAAGAGGGGGUGUCCUGUUGCGCUCUUGCCAAUAAUAUAUGGGGCUAGAACUAGACGUGUCGUGGAUGUCAUGCACUGGACCAGGCCGGGCCGGGCCCCCAGUUCAGGCCCCAGUUGCUUUCGCAGGCAUUCAACUGACAACUGACCCGACAGCUGGGUCGCGUCUGAUGCCAUCAACAAUUAAAACAUGCGUCUACCCGACGCUUAUACUGCUUUGGACAGUUUUCGACUGACCAGUGGGUCUCCGGCUCGUAAAUGCCCGUAACACUUUGGGAAGGGUAACGCAAGACACGCGCACACGCUACUUGCCAUGGCCGGACGUAGUCGCCGGCAAAAGCGCAAUUGUAAGAACGGACGAUGCCAUGCCGUCAUGAGGAAGAACAAUAGGCGUUAGGUUUUUUCGCAAAAUCCACAACUAUGCACACGCACACGCGGUCAUAAAAAACGGCAACGGCAUAACGCGUAGAAAAAGCCCUGCUGGCGGGCGGGGCCAACCACCUUCCACAGGAGUUGGCCAUUCGGGCGGCACAGCCAAAAUAUAAGUAUCCAACAAGGUUUUGCACGCCCAGGAACUGAACAACAGGAGGCAACCCUCCAUCGCAGCCCAUGGCCGACAAGGUUCAAUAUACGCAAUGUGGCUGUGCGACACUUGGAGCGGUUCCCUGCAUAAAGCCGUCCCACGGGGAUCCUCCGCUAACAAGUGGACCUCUCAUGGGCGGCAGAUCAACACACGGCGUAAUGUGCAUGGAUAUAGUAUCGUUAAACGGAAGACUCCUCGGUACUUGGCGAGAUGCAAAUUCCCCGCUUGCGCAACAUUGAUUUCUAGUCAUAAUGCGAAUCCCCACUAACUCUUCCGUGGCCCGGGACUUGCAACGGCCCGGGCCAAACGGGAGGCAUGGGGCCAAGGGCAACGUGUUGAAGUAAAAGUGGUGCGGUCUUUUAAAACGACGAUUUCGAAGGGGCACAGCAAUUGUGCGAUUCGCCGCUGUAGUGAAGGACGCACAUUCGACCCUCAUGGGCCCAACGCAAGCGUGUGAGCGGCCACACGUUAGAAGUCGAUUGUGCUGCCUCUGGACGAUGUGCAUUCUUCACCGAUCCGCUUCGCCUUUCCCAUCGUAUCGCACACCCUAACUCUCAUUCGCAGCUACUUCCUGGUUCCUGAGCACCGCCUGGAAGCGCCGCCUCAUGGCCAAAUCUAUCCAGGCGGCAAAGCCCGCAGACAUGACAAGCAGACCUGUGGUAGUCGCAGUGACAACGAAAGCGGCAGUUGCUACCCCCAUCGGCUGUCCAAAUUUGCCGAUGUCGCCGUCACGGCCCUGACUGGCGUCGAAGUAUCUGCUCCCAAUGGCCGUCAGAGCCAGCGCAUCCGCAACCCAGCACAGCCGGUAGGCCAGAAAGCGUACAUGAAUGCAAAUAGGCUGCAAUAACACCAGCAACACCGCCGCCGUGCAAACUGCCCACAGCAGCCGGUCUGGCAGAGGCCCAGGCACCUUCCACAUGAAACCGGCUAGCGGCACCAUGGUGGCAAUGUGGAUGAUCCGCACCAGCACCUCGCGCCGCCUGAGGGAGGGGUUCCAAUGAGAAGGCGUGCGAUGUAGCAACGUAAGAAUGACCAAAACAGACUGGGUUUAUUUUCACACGGCUGAAUAUGUGACGUGCAAAGAACCGCAUGAGCGCACGGAAACAGGCACGGGAACGCUUAAUGCUGGCGCUUGCUGCCGUGAUGAUACUGGAAUAGCUGCGAUCUGCGUACAGGGAUGCGUUUUCUCCGCCGUGGCGGUAGGAUGAACAGGAGAGGAAGUGCCGCUGCAGCCAUGAGGAAUGGAGCAGCGUCCUCGAUCCGUUUCCGACUUGGCAAGGAGGAUAAUCGUUGAUUAGCCCGCACUUGAAUUACAUACGAACCCAGUAGCGAAAGGCCUCAAUAGUGAUAAAGGAACUGUCUCCCUCCGCCAUUUUCCGUUUUCCCCAUCCUCUAGGACCCACCGUUGCCGGAUGGUGCCGCCCAUGUCCGUUGCCGCCACCAUGGAGAUCACCGCAGGCAGCGCCAGUAACCCCAAUGCUGCUCCAAUGCCCGCCAACAGGACUAUCGCCAGCAUCCAGUCAGGCCCCCACGAUGAAAUACGCAUGACCCCUUCGCCUUGGAUGCUCUCCGGCGAAGAGCUGCUGCGAUU
rnacentral:lncRNA from 1 species